CAGAAAGGAACCCCCUUAGAUAUAAGAGAUAUCAAUCCCAGGCAAUCCCAGUUGGAAAAUUGCAAACCCCUAAUUUCAAAAUUGUGUCUUGGCGGCGAGGGACGGCAAUAUACAUGGCUAAAGCAAAGCAUCAGAAGCCCAAACCUAGAAAACCAGCCAAACAGACCCAUAGCAAAAAGCGGGGAGGGAAGCAAAACGAUGUUUCUGAAUUGCGGGAGCAGCUUGAUGUUUUAAAUUUGAAGAUAAUUCAGGUGACUGCAGAUGGCAAUUGCUUUUUCAGGGCAUUGGCUGAUCAAUUGGAAGGCGAUGAGGAUCAGCAUGAGAAGUAUCGUGGCAUGGUGGUGGAAUUUAUUAAGGAAAACCGCGAAUCGUUUGAGCCUUUUGUGGAAGAUGAAAUUCCGUUUGAUGACUAUUGCCAAUCCAUGGGAGAGGAUGGUACAUGGGCAGGGAACAUGGAGCUGCAAGCAGCUUCUCUUGUCACUCACAGUAACAUAUGCAUUCAUAGAAAUAUGUCUCCUCGGUGGUACAUACAGAACUUUGGCAACCAUGACGCUCCAAUGAUUCAUCUUUCUUACCAUGAUGGAGAACAUUAUAAUAGUGUCCGCACAAAGGAUGACACAUGCUCUGGGCCAGCUAGGCCGAUUGUUAUAAAGCUAUGUCAAAAGGGUGAUGCUGAUCUUUCAGCUAAAUCUAAUCAACCAAAAACAGCUGCAAGGAAAUCCACAGGGGGAUGUGGAAUGAGUGCUAUAUGUGAAGACUCUAUCAAAAUGGCGAUGGCCGGAAGUGGAUGCAGAGAUGCUAGAAAAGUUGAACAGGCUCUACAACAAGCGGGUGGGGAUGUUGAUGCUGCAAUAGAAGUCCUUGUGGCUGAAGAAGGAUCCUCAGAUCAUAUAGCUGUUGAAGCUGAUUCUUCUCCUCUAAUCGAAACUCCUAAUGGAAAUGGUUUUCCAGAAGAACACCAAGCUGAGAAAGAUCAUCACAAGCUACUGGUUCAAGACACAACAAUUGAACUGGAAUUAUCUGGCAAUGAUGCAGAGACAAAUAACAAAAAAGAACUCCAACCUGAUGAAAAGAAAAUCCCGAGGAACAAGGCUUGCCCGUGUGGAUCAAAAAAGAAGUACAAGUCUUGCUGCGGUACAGUUUCUGGGAGAUCAUCCGCCAGAUUUCCAGUUAACCAAACAGUUGACUACGGUAAGAGCCGGAAGGACAGAAAGCAAGGUAGAAAAGGUGGCACAAUUCUUGUUCAUUCUGAUGGAGGGCCGCCCGACAUGGGUGCACUAUGCAUCUAACAAAUUUCAGGUCAUUUAUGGAAAUAAUUCAAUGAAUUGAAGAUAAAUUGUUGUAUCUUAUUCCUGCGAAGGCAAGGCAGGAAAUACCGUUCAUACAUACAGAUUUGGCAUGGUUCACUGAAUUCUAUUUCCUCAGCUACACAUAGAGCAAAUUGGACUAUUGCUCAUGCUACUCGAUUCACUUUGUUCAGCUUCUUCUUGCUGAGGCUCCACCUCCACAGAGCCCUUUCAUUGCUCAGAUUUUCAUCAAAAGUGACAUCUCUACUAACUCUCAGCUUCCCAUUUUCUUGCUCUGUUCACCAGAGCCUAAAUGCUUUUGAUCCACUCUGAUAACCAGGAAACAUACAUCUCAAUGCUCAUGCAUCAAGUUUGCCAUGUCUGACAUGGGCAUAAGCUCUACCUCCAAAGACCUUAGCUUAGAGAAAUCUGACUAUUGCAGUGGACACAACUUCCCCCAGGACCUUUUAUCUGCCCCAGAAGUCAAGAGCAUGCACCUAACACUCUCCAUGAUAGUCUUGUUCAUCCUUUCUAACACUCCAUUUUGUUGUGGAUUUCUUGGAGUUGUUCUUUGCCUUUUUAUGCCCUUGAUCUUACAAUAAUCAAUGAACUCAGCAGAUAGAUUUCCUGACCAUUGUCAGUUCUUAGGCAUUUCAGUUUUGUGCCUUUUUUCCUCUCCAUCAGGAUUUGCACCCACAAUUUCCUCGAGUAGUCAUUUAUGAUGAGGGUCAUGAAAUACCUUCCCCCAUUUAUAGUAGGUGGCUGGGAAGGCCCCCAAAUAUCACUUUGUGCAUAAUCAAGCACUGACUUAGAAGUGUGCUUUCCUUUAGGGAAUGGCAGUUUCUUGCCUUUUCCCACAAUACAUUGCUCGCAUUUUAUCAGGUCUUCAUCCUCAACUGCCCUUAUCAACCCCUUCUUGAUUCAAGAACCCCAAGUGAGAUCAAAUUUCUUUUGACCUCUGGUAUAAACAUGGGACAACAAGAUUACAGAUUCAUUUUUCAGCCUCAAUCUGAUGCUCCCUUCACCUUUAAUAGAGCAAACAUGAUUAUUUCCCAACAAGACUGAUCCAUUUGAUGGUUGGAAAUUUCGAAACCAUUCCUUGUGUGAGCUAAUAUGGAAACUACAACUAGAAUCAAUUAUCCAACACUCACUUACUUCAACAUCCAUAACAUUCAUGAUCUGAUGUGGCUCUUCAUCUUGCAUAUUAUCUGUUGACCCUGAUCAUUCCUUUCAGAUUCUUGCUUUCUCUUCCAAGAGAAGUAAUUCUUCUUGAUGUGACCUGACUUUUUACAAUAAUGGCAGCUACUUGUUUCCUUCUUAUCUUUGUCAGUUUGGUUCUUGGCUUGGCCUUGCUUCUGCUUGAACUUCUGAAUUUCUUAACAUUCAAUACCUUCGCAGAUGACACUGGUUGCGAUUGACUUAGUUUCUGAACUCUUUGGUUUGCAACACAGUCUGAACUUCAAGAAGAGUGAUAUGCUCGUCUCUACCAUACAAUAGAAGCAUCCUUCAGUUGCUCAUAGGUGGAAGUAGGGAUGCCAAUCCAACCCGAAACAUGUGGGUCGACCCGAAUAGCUUGGUAAAAUUAAUGGGUUAGGGCUGUAAUUUUGUAACCCGAUUUCAAAACGGGCUAAACGAGUUAGCCCAAAUGAGUUGGCGGGUUAAACGGGUUGGCCCGAAUGGGUUGCGGGCCGGCCCGACGAGUUGCCACUUUUAAUUAAAAUAGGUUUUAGGGCUUUUAUGUAUUUUGAAUUUCAUGUGGCACAAUCAUUAGUCUUCUUUAAUCUUCAGUUUACACUUUUCACUC